UGGGGAAUUUUGGACAAUGGGCGCAAGCCUGAUCCAGCCAUGCCGCGUGAGUGAAGAAGGCCUUCGGGUUGUAAAGCUCUUUCGGACGGGAAGAAAUGGCGGGCUCUAACAUAGCCUGUCGAUGACGGUACCGUAAGAAGAAGCACCGGCUAACUACGUGCCAGCAGCCGCGGUAAUACGGAGGGUGCAAGCGUUAUCCGGAUUCACUGGGUUUAAAGGGUGCGUAGGUGGGCAGAUAAGUCAGUGGUGAAAUCUUCCGGCUUAACCGGGAAACUGCCGUUGAUACUAUUUGUCUUGAAUAUUGCGGAGGUAAGCGGAAUCUGUCAUGUAGCGGUGAAAUGCUUAGAUAUGACAUAGAACACCAAUUGCGAAGGCAGCUUACUACACAAUCAUUGAUACUGAGGCGCGAAAGCGUGGGUAGCGAACA
rnacentral:rRNA from 1 species